UGGGGAAUUUUGCACAAUGGGGGAAACCCUGAUGCAGCGACGCCGCGUGAUUUAGAAGGCCUUCGGGUUGUAAAAAUCUUUUCUAUGGGAAGAAAAUGACAGUACCAUAGGAAUAAGGACCGGCUAAUUACGUGCCAGCAGCCGCGGUAAUACGUAAGGUCCGAGCGUUGUCCGGAAUCAUUGGGCGUAAAGGGUACGUAGGCGGGUAAGCAAGUUAGAAGUGAAAUCCUAUAGCUCAACUAUAGUAAGCUUUUAAAACUGCUCAUCUGGAGGUAUGGAAAGGAAAGUGGAAUUCCUAGUGUAGCGGUGAAAUGCGCAGAUAUUAGGAGGAAUACCGGUGGCGAAGGCGACUUUCUGGCCAUAACCUGACGCUGAGGUACGAAAGCGUGGGUAGCAAACAGG
rnacentral:rRNA from 1 species